rnacentral:tRNA from 1 species
AGGCUUGUAGCUGAGAGGAUUAGAGCACGUGGCUACGAACCACAAUGUCAGAGGUUCGAAUCCCUCCUCUCCUA